rnacentral:lncRNA from 1 species
UCAACAAUAUUUCUCUAAAAAAUGAAAACUUUUCAAAAAUGGCAGUUUUCAAGAAAAUUAUUUAAAAAUAUAACCUACUAAUGAAAAACUCCAAAAGAAUACUCAUAUAUCCACAAAUAUUCUUGUUGUCCUAAUUUAUAAAUCACAAACCCAAAUCUAUAAUAUUUCUCUAAAAAUGAAAUGUUUCAAAAAAUAACAGUUUUUAAGAACAUUAUUUAAAAAUACAAACUGUUGAUGAAAAACUACGAAAGAAUACUCAUCUAUCCAUAAAUAUUCUUGUUGUCCUAAUUUCUAAAUCACAAAACUCAAACCUAUAAUAUUUCUCUAAAAAAUGAAAAUUUUCUAAAAGUUGCAGUUUUUAAGAAAAUUAUUUUAAAAUAGAAACUUUUGAUGAAAAGUAUUCGUCUUUCCAUAAAUAGUCUAGUUAUCCUAAUUUUUAAAUCACAAACCCCUAAUUUUUAAAUCACAAACCCUAAUCAACAUUAUUUCUCUAAAAAAAUGAAAACUUUUCAAAAAUAGCAGUUUUUAAGAAAAUUAUUUAAAAAUAUAACCAACUAAUGAAAAACUCUGAAAGAAUACUCAUCUAUCACAAAUAUUUUUGUUGUCCUAAUUCUAAAUUACAAACCCAAAUCUAUAGUAAUUCUCUAAAAAUGAAUACUUUCCAAAUAUAGCAGUUUUUAUGAAAAUUAUUUAAAAAUACAUCCUAUUGAUGAAAAACUCCGAAAGAAUACUCAUCUAUCCACAAAUAAUCAUGUUGUCCUAAUUUCUAAAUCACAAAACUCA